rnacentral:lncRNA from 1 species
ACGUACAGCGGAGCACAGAGACAGCAGGUUAAUACAGCAUGUUAAUACAGCGACUGCAGGUUAAUACAGCAAGUUAAUACAGCGACAGCAGGUUAAUACAGCAGGUUAAUACAGUGACAGCAUGUUAAUACAGUGACAGCAAGUAAUACAGCAGGUUAAUACAGCGACAGCAUGUUAAUACAGUGACAGCAGGUUAAUAUAGCAGGUUAAUACAGCGACGGCAGGUUAAUACAGCAGGUUAAUACAGCGGCAGCAGGUUAAUGCAGCAGUACAGUAUGUUAAUACAGCAAUAUCAGGUUAAUACAGCGACAGCGGGUUAAUACAGUGAAGGCAUGUUAAUACAGCGACAGCAGGUUAAUACAGCGACAGCAGGUUAAUACAGCGACAGCAGGUUAAUACAGUGAAGGCAGGUUAAUACAGCAUGUUAAUACAGUGACAGCAGGUUAAUACAGCAUGUUAAUACAGCGACAGCAUGUUAAUACAGUGACAGCAUGUUAAUACAGUGACAGCAAGUUAAUACAGCAGGUUAAUACAGCGAUAGCAGAUUAAUACAGCGACAGCAUGUUAAUACAGUAGACCAUUUGCUCCAUGUCCUAGUCAUAUUUUAUCUUAACGAGAGGGCUGCUGCCACAGCUUAGUGCCUCUGCACAGAAACAGACAGAAAGAAAUAGAAAGAGAGAGCAGGAGAGAGAGCGAGGUAAUACAGACAGAAUGACAUGGGGGAGGAGAGGUAAUACAGACAGAAUGACAUGGGGGAGGAGAG